rnacentral:rRNA from 1 species
GGAGGACAUCUAGGGAUCGCAAGACCUUGCGCUCAUUGAGCGGCCGCCUUCUGAUUAGCUAGUUGGUGAGGUAAAGGCUUACCAAGGCGACGAUCAGUAGCUGGUCUGAGAGGACGACCAGCCACACUGGGACUGAGACACGGCCCAGACUCCUACGGGAGGCAGCAGUGGGGAAUUUUGGACAAUGGGGGAAACCCUGAUCCAGCCAUGCCGCGUGAGUGAAGAAGGCCUUCGGGUUGUAAAGCUCUUUCAGCCGGAACGAAACGGUCACGGCUAAUACCUGUGACUACUGACGGUACCGGAAGAAGAAGCACCGGCUAACUACGUGCCAGCAGCCGCGGUAAUACGUAGGGUGCGAGCGUUAAUCGGAAUUACUGGGCGUAAAGCGUGCGCAGGCGGUUUUGUAAGUCAGAUGUGAAAUCCCCGGGCUUAACCUGGGAACUGCGUUUGAAACUACAAAGCUAAGGG